ACUUUUGCUUGAGUUUCUCUCUUCCAGUGUGGGCACUAUUUGUUAUAGUAACCCUUAAUUCAUUGUUAGUCUGGGGUUCCAUUAUUUGUAAACAGCUUUUUACUGCCUCAGCCUUGGGGAGAUACGUGAUCCUUCCAAUCACAUUUCAUGGCUAGCAGAGGUCACAUGGUCUCCACCCACAGUCACAUUGGGAUGGAGAGGAGGGAGAGAGGGCCCUGCUAAGGGGCUUAAAUGCUGCACGUACAUUUGCAUGUUGAGAUUUAAUAGAGGCCUUCUGGAGACACAAUGCUUCCUCCCAGGGAGGGCCUAAUUGCAGAAAGUCGGGCACUGUGAUGGGCCUGGGGGCUCUUGUGACCCUGGGUAGGCGAUUGUCUGUGUGACAGUUGAAGUGAUGG
rnacentral:lncRNA from 1 species